GUUUUAUAUUCAAUAAUGAUUUAAAAUUGCAAAUUUUAAGGUGUAAUUAAUUUGUUACUAAGACU
rnacentral:tRNA from 1 species